rnacentral:rRNA from 1 species
UACGAAGGGGGCUAGCGUUGCUCGGAAUCACUGGGCGUAAAGCGCACGUAGGCGGCUUUUUAAGUCAGGGGUGAAAUCCUGGAGCUCAACUCCAGAACUGCCUUUGAUACUGAGAAGCUUGAGUCCGGGAGAGGUGAGUGGAACUGCGAGUGUAGAAGUGAAAUUCGUAGAUAUUCGCAAGAACACCAGUGGCGAAGGCGGCUCACUGGCCCGGUACUGACGCUGAGGUGCGAAAGCGUGGGGAGCAAACAGG